AGUCCAUUUGGCAAUGGACAAAGAGACACCUUGGUGGUGGCAGUGGUCUUAUAUCAGUCAGGGGCAGAGCAGAAUGUAGUUCUUUGUUCAUACCAGCUUGAUGCCUGGCUUGGUGGGCAAAACUGUCUUAUAUCUAGAUCUCAUAA